rnacentral:rRNA from 1 species
GACGAACGCUGGCGGCGUGCUUAACACAUGCAAGUCGUACGGUAAGGCCCUUUCGGGGGUACACGAGUGGCGGACGGGUGCGUAACACGUGAGUAACCUGCCCACAACUUUGGGAUAACGCUAGGAAACUGGUGCUAAUACUGGAUAUGUGCUCCUGCUGCAUGGUGGGGGUUGGAAAGCUCCGGCGGUUGUGGAUGGACUCGCGGCCUAUCAGCUUGUUGGUGGGGUAGUGGCCUACCAAGGCGGCGACGGGUAGCCGGCCUGAGAGGGUGACCGGCCACAUUGGGACUGAGAGACGGCCCAGACUCCUACGGGAGGCAGCAGUGGGGAAUAUUGCACAAUGGGCGCAAGCCUGAUGCAGCAACGCCGCGUGCGGGAUGACGGCCUUCGGGUUGUAAGCCGCUUUCAGCAGGGACGAAGCUUUUUGUGACGGUACCUGCAGAAGAAGCACCGGCUAACUACGUG